UUACUGUGAUGACACAAUUAACUAUAGUUUAAAGCAUUCACUGGAUGCUUGAUGGAACUUCGACAACCAUGUCGAUACUGAGCGGUUACCUGAGCAA